rnacentral:rRNA from 1 species
UACAGAGGGGGCAAACGUUGUUCGGAAUUACUGGGCGUAAAGCGCGUGUAGGCGGUUCGUUAAGUCUACUGUGAAAGCCCAUGGCUCAACCAUGGAACUGCAGUGGAUACUGGCAAACUUGAGUCCCGGAGAGGUUGGUGGAAUUCCUAGUGUAGAGGUGAAAUUCGUAGAUAUUAGGAGGAACACCGGUGGCGAAGGCGACCACCUGGACGGGUACUGACGCUGAGACGCGAAAGCGUGGGGAGCAAACAGG